rnacentral:rRNA from 1 species
AUUGAACGCUGGCGGCAUGCCUUACACAUGCAAGUCGAACGGUAACGGGCCUUCGGGUGCCGACGAGUGGCGAACGGGUGAGUAAUGUAUCGGAACGUACCUUUCAGUGGGGGAUAACGUAGCGAAAGUUACGCUAAUACCGCAUAUUCUGUGCGCAGGAAAGCAGGGGAUCGCAAGACCUUGCGCUGAUUGAGCGGCCGAUAUCAGAUUAGCUAGUUGGUGAGGUAAAGGCUCACCAAGGCGACGAUCUGUAGCGGGUCUGAGAGGAUGAUCCGCCACACUGGAACUGAGACACGGUCCAGACUCCUACGGGAGGCAGCAGUGGGGAAUCUUGGACAAUGGGGGCAACCCUGAUCCAGCCAUGCCGCGUGAGUGAAGAAGGCCUUCGGGUUGUAAAGCUCUUUCGGCCGGGAAGAAAUCGUAUCAGCUAAUACCUGGUGCGGAUGACGGUACCGGCAUAAGGAGCACCGGCUAACUACGUGCCAGCCGCCGCAGUAACAC